CAGACUAGAGUGAUGUAGGGGAGACUGGAAUUCCUGGUGUAGCGGUGAAAUGCGCAGAUAUCAGGAGGAACACCGAUGGCGAAGGCAGGUCUCUGGGCAUUAACUGACGCUGAGGAGCGAAAGCAUGGGGAGCGAACAGGAUUAGAUACCCUGGUAGUCCAUGCCGUAAACGUUGGGCACUAGGUGUGGGGGACAUUCCACGUUUUCCGCGCCGUAGCUAACGCAUUAAGUGCCCCGCCUGGGGAGUACGGCCGCAAGGCUAAAACUCAAAGGAAUUGACGGGGGCCCGCACAAGCGGCGGAGCAUGCGGAUUAAUUCGAUGCAACGCGAAGAACCUUACCAAGGCUUGACAUGAACCGGUAAUACCUGGAGACAGGUGCCCCGCUUGCGGUCGGUUUACAGGUGGUGCAUGGUUGUCGUCAGCUCGUGUCGUGAGAUGUUGGGUUAAGUCCCGCAACGAGCGCAACCCUCGUUCUAUGUUGCCAGCACGUGAUGGUGGGGACUCAUAGGAGACUGCCGGGGUCAACUCGGAGGAAGGUGGGGACGACGUCAAAUCAUCAUGCCCCUUAUGUCUUGGGCUUCACGCAUGCUACAAUGGCCGGUACAAAGGGUUGCGAUACUGUGAGGUGGAGCUAAUCCCAAAAAGCCGGUCUCAGUUCGGAUUGGGGUCUGCAACUCGACCCCAUGAAGUCGGAGUCGCUAGUAAUCGCAGAUCAGCAACGCUGCGGUGAAUACGUUCCCGGGCCUUGUACACACCGCCCGUCAAGUCACGAAAGUUGGUAACACCCGAAGCCGGUGGCCUAACCCC
rnacentral:rRNA from 1 species